CGCGCGGCGGGAUGAGUCCCACAGGCCCGGCCGUUACUGUGACGACCGCGGCUCUCGCCCGUUACAUCCGGCGCCGCCAGCCCAGGCAGGGUGACCUGCUGAGGGAAGGGCCGCCCGGCCUCAGGAGUUUCUCCUCCUCCGGAGCUGGUUAGGCCAGCGCUCUCCACGGAGCCCAGGGCUCUUCCUGGUAAAGCCGUAGACAGACAGCACACUGCUCUCGGUGCCAAAUAUCGGACGAAGGUACAUGUCCGUGAGCUGUAGGAACCAGCUCUCACCCUGCGCUUUGGCUGCAUUCGGUUAGGAUUGCUGCAUGUUCAAGAUAACCAAGCUUUAAAAGUCACCCCAGGAGGCUGUUGAAGAGGGGGCAAUAAACUGAAAUGCCCUAGAGUGCGUGUCUGGGAAAAAGUUACAAUGGAAGACUUUAUGAAGAGUGAAAUUUGAAAACAACAAAAAUCGCCUUACUGACUUGUUCAACAAUAAGAUUUCUCCCUUUUUUGCUGCUGUCCUGUAAAUGGAACAUGCAAUCAGCCUCAAGUCAUUUUUGGAAAGAAGUUGAUAUGAUUUGUAUCAAGAUGUCGAUACAAAUGUCCAAAGCCUCAGUUAUCAGUACAGUACAGCUUGCAAUUUGGUUGCAACCAGAAUCGUGGAAUGAAUUCUACUGGAAUCAUGGAAAGAAUUACGUUUGUGAACCAAAGUACCACUGUAUUAAGUAAAUUUUACUCAAGCAGAGGUCUAUCAAAAUAUGCCAAAGAAGAGAAAGAUGGUAAUUAUAAAUUCAACAGAACUUCUAAAACAUUUUUAUAUUUCAAGUCACUUUCCAAAUUUAUAAGUCCAUUGGUUUUACUUCCAGAAUUUUUAAUGUUAUUUGGAAAAUUGUUUUUUCAUAAAUGAUUAAAGAAUGUUUCACUGCA